AAAUUGAAGAGUUUGAUCAUGGCUCAGAUUGAACGCUGGCGGCAGGCCUAACACAUGCAAGUCGAACGGUAACAGGAAGCAGCUUGCUGCUUUGCUGACGAGUGGCGGACGGGUGAGUAAUGUCUGGGAAACUGCCUGAUGGAGGGGGAUAACUACUGGAAACGGUGGCUAAUACCGCAUAACGUCGCAAGACCAAAGAGGGGGACCUUCGGGCCUCUUGCCAUCAGAUGUGCCCAGAUGGGAUUAGCUUGUUGGUGAGGUAACGGCUCACCAAGGCGACGAUCCCUAGCUGGUCUGAGAGGAUGACCAGCCACACUGGAACUGAGACACGGUCCAGACUCCUACGGGAGGCAGCAGUGGGGAAUAUUGCACAAUGGGCGCAAGCCUGAUGCAGCCAUGCCGCGUGUAUGAAGAAGGCCUUCGGGUUGUAAAGUACUUUCAGCGGGGAGGAAGGUGUUGUGGUUAAUAACCACAGCAAUUGACGUUACCCGCAGAAGAAGCACCGGCUAACUCCGUGCCAGCAGCCGCGGUAAUACGGAGGGUGCAAGCGUUAAUCGGAAUUACUGGGCGUAAAGCGCACGCAGGCGGUCUGUCAAGUCGGAUGUGAAAUCCCCGGGCUCAACCUGGGAACUGCAUUCGAAACUGGCAGGCUUGAGUCUUGUAGAGGGGGGUAGAAUUCCAGGUGUAGCGGUGAAAUGCGUAGAGAUCUGGAGGAAUACCGGUGGCGAAGGCGGCCCCCUGGACAAAGACUGACGCUCAGGUGCGAAAGCGUGGGGAGCAAACAGGAUUAGAUACCCUGGUAGUCCACGCCGUAAACGAUGUCUACUUGGAGGUUGUGCCCUUGAGGCGUGGCUUCCGGAGCUAACGCGUUAAGUAGACCGCCUGGGGAGUACGGCCGCAAGGUUAAAACUCAAAUGAAUUGACGGGGGCCCGCACAAGCGGUGGAGCAUGUGGUUUAAUUCGAUGCAACGCGAAGAACCUUACCUGGUCUUGACAUCCACGGAAGUUUUCAGAGAUGAGAAUGUGCCUUCGGGAACCGUGAGACAGGUGCUGCAUGGCUGUCGUCAGCUCGUGUUGUGAAAUGUUGGGUUAAGUCCCGCAACGAGCGCAACCCUUAUCCUUUGUUGCCAGCG
rnacentral:rRNA from 1 species